UGGGGAAUAUUGCACAAUGGAGGGAACUCUGAUGCAGCGACGCCGCGUGAACGAAGAAGGCUUUCGAGUCGUAAAGUUCUUUUAUAUGGGAAGAUAAUGACGGUACCAUAAGAAAAAGCCCCGGCUAACUACGUGCCAGCAGCCGCGGUAAUACGUAGGGGGCUAGCGUUGUCCGGAAUCACUGGGCGUAAAGGGUUCGCAGGCGGAAAUGCAAGUCAGGUGUAAAAGGCAGUAGCUUAACUACUGUAAGCAUUUGAAACUGCAUAUCUUGAGGAAAGUAGAGGUAAGUGGAAUUUUUAGUGUAGCGGUGAAAUGCGUAGAUAUUAAAAAGAAUACCGGUGGCGAAGGCGACUUACUGGGCUCAUUCUGACGCUGAGGAACGAAAGCGUGGGUAGCAAACAGG
rnacentral:rRNA from 1 species